rnacentral:tmRNA from 1 species
GGGCUCGUAAAGGUUUCGACGGGGAUUUUGAGGUAUGAUAAGCGGGUAGAGCCGGACAAUCUCUUAAAAGGUCCAAACUUAAAAUUAAACGCUAACGAUAGAAACGUUGCAUUGGCUGCCUAAGGGCAGUGCUGCGGCAUAACGCCGCCCGUUCCUCCGAGUAGUAUCACGGACUCGGACUGAGCGUCAUUUUAGUGAUGAACGUGCACAGGUGUUUCGCCAUUGAGCCUGUCACGCAGAAAAUGGCUACCUGACGGAGAAGUUUGUCCGCCAACGGCUCUUGAAGGGAAGCAUAAUAGACGGAAUACACCCGAAGAAGGUCAUAUCAAGAGGU